GAUGAACGCUGGCGGCGUGCCUAAUACAUGCGAGUCGAGCGAACAGACGAGGAGCUUGCUCCUCUGACGUUAGCGGCGGACGGGUGAGUAACACGUGGAUAACCUACCUAUAAGACUGGGAUAACUUCGGGAAACCGGAGCUAAUACCGGAUAACAUGUUGAACCGCAUGGUUCAACAGUGAAAGACGGUCUUGCUGUCACUUAUAGAUGGAUCCGCGCCGCAUUAGCUAGUUGGUAAGGUAACGGCUUACCAAGGCGACGAUGCGUAGCCGACCUGAGAGGGUGAUCGGCCACACUGGAACUGAGACACGGUCCAGACUCCUACGGGAGGCAGCAGUAGGGAAUCUUCCGCAAUGGGCGAAAGCCUGACGGAGCAACGCCGCGUGAGUGAAGAAGGUCUUCGGAUCGUAAAACUCUGUUAUUAGGGAAGAACAAAUGUGUAAGUAACUAUGCACGUCUUGACGGUACCUAAUCAGAAAGCCACGGCUAACUACGUG
rnacentral:rRNA from 1 species